GCUCCUGGUCCUGCCUCCAGACAGGCGUGGCUGCUGUGGGGCACAGGCAAAGUGGGGCAGAACUCUUGGCUCUUUGGCCUCUGGGAGAGCAGCAAUUUUCCAGUGCCAACUGCACAUCCUGCAAUUCAACUCAAUUCUGAGACCAUCUACCUGGAGACAACCUCAGAUCCACUUCCUGCUCUGGCACCAAUCAGCUGCUUUUGCAACUGGAGCUGCUAUCCCCACAACCAUGAGGAAUAGGGGAUGGUGGCUGGUUCAAGCCUGGCUCUUCCUCCAUCAAGUACUUUCCUAGUUGUCUAACCAGAGCUUCUUGGCACGGCCAUGAUGGAUGCUGGAGGGCUGGGAUGGAGGCGUGUCGACAUCAAAGGUGGCAUUGAGGUCAAUGUCAUCACCGAAGGCCGGUCGGCGAAGCUUCAGGCUCAGCAUCUCCAUGGGGGCUGGGCUAUAGGCAGAGUUGGCCUGGUUACUCUG